rnacentral:rRNA from 1 species
AGAAUCAACGCUGGCGGCGUGCCUAACACAUGCAAGUCGAACGAGAAAGUGGAGCAAUCCAUGAGUAAAGUGGCGACCGGGUGAGUAACACGUGACUAACCUACCUUCAAGUGGGGGAUAACCUCGGGAAAACCGGGCUAAUACCGCAUAACAUCUUUGGAGUGGAAAUUCUGGAGAUCAAAGGAGCAAUUCGCUUAAGGAGGGGGUCGCGGCAGAUUAGUUAGUUGGCAGGGUAAUGGCCUACCAAGACGGUGAUCUGUAU